AGGACAAACGCUGGCGGCGUGCCUAAGACAUGCAAGUCGAACGGUGGGGCUUGCCCCACAGUGGCGGACGGGUGAGGAACGCGUGGGCAACCUGCCCCGGGGUGGGGGAUAACACUCAGAAAUGGGUGCUAAGACCGCAUACGAGUGGGGGACGGAAGGUUCCUUAGGGAAAAGCCUUUGGGCUGCCCUGGGAGGGGCCCGCGUCGGAUUAGCUAGUUGGUGUGGUAACGGCGCACCAAGGCUGCGAUCCGUAGCUGGUCUGAGAGGACGACCAGCCACACUGGGACUGAGACACGGCCCAGACUCCUACGGGAGGCAGCAGUUAGGGAAUUUUCACAAUGGGCGCAA
rnacentral:rRNA from 1 species